UAUACAUUAAAAUUUUCUUCCAUUUCAGCUAUCCACACUGAUGCAUAGCAGGACACGCCGAUGUGAGAGGAAGCAUUCCAGAAACAAUGUAGAUUUUACACUAUCUUUAGACAGGGAUCAGGAGGUCCUGCACUGCAUGUUCCAGCAGUUCCAGAGGCAUAACAAAGUUAAGUGCUGAGUGUGUAGAUUAGAAGAGUGUUAAGUGCUUUCCAUUUGAUACAUAACAGCAGUUACUUCACGGGCUCAGAAGCAUUGAUCAUCUGUCAGUAGGUGACACGAAAGCUGAGCUCAGUCUUCAGAUGUGCUUCUACACUCACUGUGGUGUUAUGGAGCUCACCUGCUAGAAACUCCUGCUCUGUAAGCUUUAAAUGCCGUCUAAAUGUCCCUUUACCUAAUUAGAGAUAGUGAGAGCAGGAAUUGCCAUCUGCCGGCCGAGCCAGGAAUGAUCUGUGCCUGCAAUUCAUUUCUUCAUCUGUGUGGCUAAAUUUGGAAGUGGAUUCGAGCAUAAGAGAUGGUGUGACGUGAAAGCAGGACAAUGCAGCUUGCAGCCAACUCUGCACACAGUGCAUGGUGCUGCUCAGCCUUGCUCCAGGAAGGGCUGGGGAAAAACAGAGAAGAGAAUAGUUUUUUGGUGAUCUGAGACACCUCUUGAUUUUAUUGAGGUGUUGAUUUUAAAACAGUCAGCAAAAUGAUUGUUCUGUUGUGGAAAUUUUGAACUUUUGAAUGAAGUUUGGAUAUUGGGAAAAAUUCCUUCUCAGAAGGAGUGGUGAGGCAGUGGCCCAGGCUGCCCAGAGAGAUGGUGGAGUCACCAUCCCUGAAGGUAUCCAGUAAACAUGGAGAUGUGGCACUGAGGGAUGUGGUUAGUGGGCAUGGUGGGGAUGGGCUGACCGCUGGGCUAGGUGAUCCUUAGGGUCUUUUCCAACCUUAAUGAUUCUGUGAUUCUAUGAAAGUGAUGAGUGGCCUCGGUUAGAAAUUAACUUCUGUGUCUCACAGUGUUUUCUGCAUGAGAAGAGUCAGUGGAAGGUUAUUUGACGACAUCUUCCCUGGCAGCCAUCCACUGCAGGAAGACAACAGAAAAUGGAACCCCACCUCCCCACCUCAUCUCCCCACCUGCAGGCUGAACAGAGGCACCCUCCCAGCCCCUGCCUAUGUGCCACAGAGUCCUCACAGUCUUCUCCAAUUUGCAAGCAUCCAUUAAGCUCAAGGAGAAGCUACCACAACGAGGGAAAGCCACGCUCAGUCUCUGAAGAGCCACCUGUUACUUCAGCCUCUUGGUGAGGACUUUCUGUUUAAGCUGUGUUUUCUACUAUGUCUGACUCAACAGCGUUCUGGGAUCCUUCUUUGCAGAACCUAGGUGUUACUGUCUGACAAGAAAUAAAUGAUUGUAAGCAUUCAAAACUUGCUCUCGAGGACUGGACUUUGCUGAUUUGGUCAACAAAAUGACCUUUGAGGCAAACCACAGUGAGUCUGCUAUAAAGCUGACUGUGCCAAGUAAAUAUACAGUUGUGGUAUUUAUUUUGUAGAUUACCAUAAAAGCCUCAGUUUUUAUAAGUGGACCUUUUAUGAAUGGAACAUGAUUUGUGAUCCUUAGAUAGGAAUUAAAUAUAUAUAUAUUACGGUGCUCUUAUGGACACCCAUACGGCUACGUGUGUGAGAAGACAGCUUUCUGUGUGACAGAUGGGAAAAGACAUUGAAGAUCUGACUUUGGCUUUCAUUUUAUGACUGAUGAUUCCUUCUUACCUGCAGGAAAACACUUCCUGUAUGUGUCAGUUUUCAGACAGUCUUCAACAUUGUUUUUGCAGAUGUAAUUCACAAGUUCUGAUUUCUCCUUUUC
ensembl:lncRNA